CCGUUGCUCAUGCUUGCAUGAAGCAACGAGGUGAUUUGAUAAUCAAACCGACCUGAGAAUGUAGCGAUUUGCAAUGCAAAUCAGCGAAAUUCGAAGGCCGGUAGGAUUGCGAGAGUUUCGAAGAAACGAAGCAAUCCGUAAUA
rnacentral:sRNA from 1 species